rnacentral:rRNA from 1 species
AGAGUUUGAUCCUGGCUCAGAUUGAACGCUGGCGGCAUACCUUACACAUGCAAGUCGAACGGCAGCGCGGGGCAACCUGGCGGCGAGUGGCGAACGGGUGAGUAAUAUAUCGGAACGUGCCCUGGAGUGGGGGAUAACGCAGCGAAAGUUGCGCUAAUACCGCAUACGAUCUAAGGAUGAAAGCAGGGGACCGCAAGGCCUUGUGCUCCUGGAGCGGCCGAUAUCUGAUUAGCUAGUUGAUGGGGUAAAGGCCUACCAAGGCAUCGAUCAGUAGCUGGUCUGAGAGGACGACCAGCCACACUGGAACUGAGACACGGUCCAGACUCCUACGGGAGGCAGCAGUGGGGAAUUUUGGACAAUGGGCGAAAGCCUUAUCCAGCAAUGCCGCGUGAGUGAAGAAGGCCUU